rnacentral:rRNA from 1 species
AGAGUAAAACAGUACGUGAAAUUGUUGAAAGGGAAACGAUUGAAGCCAGUCGUACCGGCGGGUAAUCAGCCUUUUGGGUGUGAUUAUGUGGAGCGUGAGGAGUUAAUCGCCCUCAUCUUUGCAUAUUCGUGCACUUUGGGUGUACUUGCUCGUGUGGUAGGUUAACAUCAAUUUUGAUCGUCAUAAAAUGAUUGGAGGAAUGUAGCUUCGAUCUCGUAUUGAAGUGUUAUAGCCUUCGGUAGAUGUGAUGAUUAGGAUUGAGGAUUGCAACGGAUACCCUUCUGGGCUACCUGUCUGAUCUCUGAAAGUUGCUCUGGUGCUGAAAGCUUGCUUAUGGUAUCAAAGUUGACGUUCAACAGGUUAGAACGGGAUAAAUUCGUUAAGGAUGUUGACGUAAUGGCUUUAAACGACC